rnacentral:rRNA from 1 species
GAUGAACGCUAGCUACAGGCUUAACACAUGCAAGUCGAGGGGUAGCACGGAGGAAGCUUGCUUCCUUGGGUGACGACCGGCGCACGGGUGAGUAACGCGUAUCCGACCUACCCAUAACACGGGCACAGCCGCUCGAAAGAGCGAUUGAUUCCCGAUAUGUCUUUGGAGUAUAUUCUUAGAUGAAAGAUUUAUCGGUCAUGGAUGGGGAUGCGUAGGAUUAGCUAGUUGGUGGGGUAACGGCCCACCAAGGCGACGAUCGGUAGCCGAACUGAGAGGUUGAUCGGCCGCAUUGGGACUGAGACACGGCCCAGACUCCUACGGGAGGCAGCAGUGGGGGAUAUUGCACAAUGGGGGAAACCCUGACCCAGCAACGCCGCGUGAAGGAAGAAAGGCCCUCGGGUUGUAAACUUCUUUUACCAGGGACGAAGAAAGUGACGGUACCUGGAGAAAAAGCAACGGCUAACUACGUG